AUUGAACGCUGGCGGCAGGCCUAACACAUGCAAGUCGAACGGUAACAGGAAGAAGCUUGCUACUUUGCUGACGAGUGGCGGACGGGUGAGUAAUGUCUGGGAAACUGCCUGAUGGAGGGGGAUAACUACUGGAAACGGUAGCUAAUACCGCAUAACGUCGCAAGACCAAAGAGGGGGACCUUCGGGCCUCUUGCCAUCGGAUGUGCCCAGAUGGGAUUAGCUAGUAGGUGGGGUAACGGCUCACCUAGGCGACGAUCCCUAGCUGGUCUGAGAGGAUGACCAGCCACACUGGAACUGAGACACGGUCCAGACUCCUACGGGAGGCAGCAGUGGGGAAUAUUGCACAAUGGGCGCAAGCCUGAUGCAGCCAUGCCGCGUGUAUGAAGAAGGCCUUCGGGUUGUAAAGUACUUUCAGCGGGGAGGAAGGGAGUAAAGUUAAUACCUUUGCUCAUUGACGUUACCCGCAGAAGAAGCACCGGCUAACUCCGUG
rnacentral:rRNA from 1 species